CGGCGUGCUUAACACAUGCAAGUCGAACGAGGUCCAACCUUCGGGUGAAGACCGAGUGGCGAACGGGUGAGUAACACGUGGGGAACCUGCCCUUCUCUCUGGGAUAACUCCGGGAAACCGGAGCUAAUACCGGAUACUCCUUGCGGACCGCAUGGUCUGCUCGGGAAAGCUCCGGCGGAGAAGGAUGGCCCCGCGGCCCAUUAGCUUGUUGGUGGGGUAACGGCCCACCAAGGCGACGAUGGGUAGCCGAGCUGAGAGGCUGAUCGGCCACACUGGGACUGAGACACGGCCCAGACUCCUACGGGAGGCAGCAGUGGGGAAUCUUGCGCAAUGGGCGAAAGCCUGACGCAGCAACGCCGCGUGCGGGAUGAAGGCUCUCGGGUCGUAAACCGCUUUCAGCAGGGAUGAAAAUGACAGUACCUGCAGAAGAAGCCCCGGCUAAAUACGUGCCAGCAGCCGCGGUAAUACGUAUGGGGCAAGCGUUAUCCGGAUUCAUUGGGCGUAAAGCGCGCGUAGGCGGCUUGUUAAGUCAGGCGUGAAAUCCGGGGGCUCAACCCGCGGCUUGCGUCUGAAACUGGCAGGCUUGAGUCUGGUAGAGGAAAGUGGAAUUCCUGGUGUAGCGGUGAAAUGCGCAGAUAUCAGGAGGAACACCAGUGGCGAAGGCGGCUUUCUGGGCCACGACUGACGCUGAGGCGCGAAAGCUAGGGGAGCGAACAGGAUUAGAUACCCUGGUAGUCCUAGCCGUAAACGAUGGGCACUAGGUGUGGGGGGUCAUCGACUCCCUCCGUGCCGAAGCUAACGCAUUAAGUGCCCCGCCUGGGGAGUACGGCCGCAAGGCUAAAACU
rnacentral:rRNA from 1 species